rnacentral:rRNA from 1 species
ACUGGAUAGGAAGUUUUAAGGCAUCUUGGAAACUUUUAAAGACCCGCAAGGGUAUGCUAAGAGAUGGGCUUGCGGCACAUUAGUUAGUUGGUAAGGUAACGGCUUACCAAGACUAUGAUGUGUAGCUGGACUGAGAGGUUGAACGGCCACAUUGGGAUUGAGAUACGGCCCAAACUCCUACGGGAGGCAGCAGUAAGGAAUUUUCGGCAAUGGAGGAAACUCUGACCGAGCAACGCCGCGUGAACGAUGAAAUAUUUAGGUAUGUAAAGUUCUUUUAUUAAAGAAGAAAAAAUGAUGGAAAAAUCAUUCUGACGGUAUUUAAUGAAUAAGCCCCGGCUAACUAUGUGCCAGCAGCUGCGGUAAUACAUGGGGGGCAAGCGUUAUCCGGAUUUAUUGGGCGUAAAGGGUGUGUAGGCGGUUUAAUAAGUCUAUGGUAUAAGUUCAACGCUUAACGUUGUGAUGCUAUGGAAACUGUUUGACUAGAGUUGGAUAGAGGCAAGUGGAAUUCCAUGUGUAGCGGUAAAAUGCGUAAAUAUAUGGAGGAACACCAGUAGCGAAGGCGGCUUGCUGGGUCUUAACUGACGCUGAGGCACGAAAGCGUGGGGAGCAAACAGGAUUAGAUACCCUGGUAGUCCACGCCGUAAACGAUGAGUACUAAGUGUUGGGUUAAACCAGUGCUGAAGUUAACACAUUAAGUACUCCGCCUGAGUAGUACGUACGCAAGUAUGAAACUUAAAGGAAUUGACGGGACUCCGCACAAGCGGUGGAUCAUGUUGUUUAAUUCGAAGAUACACGAAAAACCUUACCAGGUCUUGACAUACUCUGCAAAGCUAUAGAAAUAUAGUGGAGGUUAUCAGGGAUACAGGUGGUGCAUGGUUGUCGUCAGCUCGUGUCGUGAGAUGUUGGGUUAAGUCCCGCAACGAGCGCAACCCUUAUCGCUAGUUACCAUCAUUUAGUUGGGCACUUUAGUGAGACUGCCAAUGAUAAAUUGGAGGAAGGUGGGGAUUACGUCAAAUCAUCAUGCCCCUUAUGACCUGGGCUACAAACGUGAUACAAUGGCUGUUACAAAGAGUAGCUGAAGCGUGAGUUUUUAGCAAAUCUCAAAAAAACAGUCUCAGUUCGGAUUGAAGUCUGCAACUCGACUUCAUGAAGUCGGAAUCGCUAGUAAUCGCGAAUCAGCAUGUCGUGGUGAAUACGUUCUCGGGGUUUGUACACACCGCCCGUCAAACCAUGAAAGUUGACAAUACUCGAAACCAGUAGCCUAACUUGCAAAAGAGGGAACUGUCUAAGGUAGGGUCGAUGAUUGGGGUUAAGUCGUAACAAGGUAUCCCUACCGGAAGGUGGGGAUGGAUCACCUCCUUUCUA